UCCGGAGCUAACGCGUUAAGUCGACCGCCUGGGGAGUACGGCCGCAAGGUUAAAACUCAAAUGAAUUGACGGGGGCCCGCACAAGCGGUGGAGCAUGUGGUUUAAUUCGAUGCAACGCGAAGAACCUUACCUACUCUUGACAUCCAGAGAACUUAGCAGAGAUGCUUUGGUGCCUUCGGGAACUCUGAGACAGGUGCUGCAUGGCUGUCGUCAGCUCGUGUUGUGAAAUGUUGGGUUAAGUCCCGCAACGAGCGCAACCCUUAUCCUUUGUUGCCAGCGGUCCGGCCGGGAACUCAAAGGAGACUGCCAGUGAUAAACUGGAGGAAGGUGGGGAUGACGUCAAGUCAUCAUGGCCCUUACGAGUAGGGCUACACACGUGCUACAAUGGCGCAUACAAAGAGAAGCGACCUCGCGAGAGCAAGCGGACCUCAUAAAGUGCGUCGUAGUCCGGAUUGGAGUCUGCAACUCGACUCCAUGAAGUCGGAAUCGCUAGUAAUCGUAGAUCAGAAUGCUACGGUGAAUACGUUCCCGGGCCUUGUACACACCGCCCGUCACACCAUGGGAGUGGGUUGCAAAAGAAGUAGGUAGCUUAACCUUCGGGAGGGCGCUUACC
rnacentral:rRNA from 2 species